rnacentral:rRNA from 1 species
CCCGGGCCUUGUACACACCGCCCGUCACACCACGAAAGCUGCCCGUACCAGAAGUCGGUGACCUAACCUUCGGGAAGGAGCCGCCCAAGGUUCUGGCAGUGAUUGGGGUG